AUUGAACGCUGGCGGCAGGCCUAACACAUGCAAGUCGAACGGUAACAGGAAGCAGCUUGCUGCCUCGCUGCCGAGUGGCGGACGGGUGGGUAAUGUCUGGGAAACUGCCUGAUGGUGGGGGAUAACUACUGGAAACGGUAGCUAAUACCGCAUAACGUUGCAAGACCAAAGAGGGGGACCUUAGGGCCUCUUGCCAUCGGAUGUGCCCUGUUGGCAUUAGCUAGUAGGUGGGGUAACGGCUCACCUAGGCGACGAUCCCUAGUUGAUGUGAGAGGCUGACAGGCGACACUGGAACGGGGACGCGGUCCAGACUCCUACGGGAGGCAGCAGUGGGGAAUAUUGCACAAUGGGCGCAAGUCUGAUGCAGCCAUGCCGCGUGUAUGAAGAAGGCCUUCGGGUUGUAAAGUACUUUUAGCGGGGAGGAAGGGAGUAAAGUGAAUACCAUGGCUAAUUGACGGUACCCGCAGAAGAAGCACCGGCUAACUCCGUG
rnacentral:rRNA from 1 species